UUUUCCCACUUAGCCAAUCUUCUUCUCGAACUCUCCAAGUUUCAAUCCAAAAUUUCUCACUCGCAAGCGAAGAAAAAACCGUUUCGAGCUCAAUUUUUCCGAGAACCAAACGCACAUCUAUCAACUGAUCAUCAAGGUGACAGAAGCAAGUUUCCGAGCGCUCAAUUUCACGAAGUAUCCAUGCCUUGAGAAUUCACGAAGAACCCUAGCUUCAUCAUUUUCUGUCGGGGAAAAAUGGACAAUGAAACCGAAAUCUUCUCGCGCCUAGCCGCGAACCACCUGUUCCUCGCCCAAUUCGAACCUCUCAGGGCGAUAAUCCACGCUCUACGAGCCAAGGACCCCGAGCUUGCCCUCACCGUGCUCCAGACGAUCGUCGCUCGCUCCGGGCGGUUCGAGAACGUUCUGUGGUCUUCCUCGUGUGCGUCGCCAUCUCUUUUCACGUACUUGGUGACUCUCGAGCUUCUACAAUUCGACAACGCCUCGUCGGUUUGGAGCUUCGAUCGCGAGACGCUGUGAUUGCGAGCCGAGUUUUUGUUACUGGUUCAGCACCUGAUCGACUGGGUUUCGGAGACUAUGAGGAAGAAUUUCGAUUUGGAGAGCAUCGGUAAAGAGAGAGAAAGCGAGAGCUUCGAGGAGAGAGGAGAGUCAUUGGAUAAGAGUGAGGAUAAAAGCGACGAUUUGAGAGCUGCGAGCGGCGAAUGGGACAGAGCCGUCGGAGUUUUGGACAUAAUUUUGGAGUUGGGAGUGAAGAGGUUGAAGGCUGAUGUAGUUGUACACGAUGGUGAUGACGAUAAUCAUCUCUGAAUCAGGCCAUUGCAAUCGAGGAAGCCGAAUUCGUGUCCUUGUGGAAGGUAAUUUGGGAGUAUUCGGAUGCAUUGUGUUUGAAUAUACAGAAGCAAUUGAGAGGCUGGGAAGGCUAUGACUCUUCUGGUUUAGCAAUAAUGCCGCGGACGGACGGGAAUGCGGUUGUGGAGACGUCUGGGGAAGAAGAAGAGGAUGUGAAGAUUCUUGGUUUGAUACAAAGGAGUGUCCAAUUAGCUCAUUUAGAUGCCAUUAGAGAUUGUGUUAAAGAGGGUAAUGUGAAUGAAGCUGUUUCGCACAUUCGCUUUCUUAAUCUUAUUACAGAGUUGAGGAGUCCGAGUAUCGCAUUAUAUUACUGGAUCUCCUGAAGGUUGUUUCUCUGGGAAGGGAGGGAUAUGGGGACUCCUGGCAUGCCAAGAGAGAAAAGUUGUUGAUGAUUUAUGGUGCAGCUCUUGUAUCAAAUUGCAGACGUCUCAGCCAGAUGACAACAACCAGAUUCCACCCCCUCUUGAAUGUUUCCAGAGAUAUGUUGUAGAGUUGGAACUUGAUUCAGAUUUUGACAGAACCUUGUCCCUAACCAAUGCAGUCAUUUCUUGUACAAGAGACAUGUACCAUUAUGCUCGUGUGUCUUGAAAACACGUUCUUGAAUGUUUCCCUGACUUCAGCCUCUGGUAGCUACCAUGGGUUGGGAUUUGUUUACAAAAAUUAUGCUAUUUACUUCUUAUCUUUAAACUUUAUGCUAUUAUUUUUAUGCUUUCUCCAUGGUGAGACCCCCUAUAAAAAUCCCAUCAGCAAUGGUCAGAUCUGGAGAGAGAAUAGUUUUGUGCGGCGCGCCGUAACAGCAAUGGGAAUUUACCUUUGGUACUUCAUAA